UUUAAUCCACACAGGCAGGUAGCUGUUGUUGUUUUUAGCUCACCUGUCACAAAGUGACAGGGUGAGCUUUUGUGAUCGCUUUUGUCCGGCCGUCCGUCCGUCGUCCGUCCGUAAACUUUUACUUUAAAUGACAUCUCCUCAUAAACCACUAAGCCAAUUUCAUCCAAACUUCACAGGAAUGUUCCUUUGGUGGUCACCUUUAAAAAUUGUUCAAAGAAUUUAAUUCCAUGCAGAACUCUGGUUGCCAUGGCAACCAAAAGAAAAAAACUUUAAAUAUCUUCUUUUAAAAAACCAUAAGAGCUAGAGCUUAGAUAUUUGGCAUGAAACAUCUUCUAGUGAGUGUCUACCAAGUUUGUUCAAAUAAAAGCCCUGGGGUCAAAAUUGGCCCCGCCCCGGGGGGGUCAUUGAUUUUCCCUAUAUGCAUAUAGUAAAAACUUAAAAAUUCUUCUUUUAAAGAACCCAAAGAGCUAGAGCUAAGAUAUUUAGCAUGAAACAUGUUCUAAUGGGUGUCUACCAAGUUUGUUCAAAUAAAAGCCCUGGGGUCAAAAUUGGCCCCGCCCCAGUGGGGUCAUUGAUUUUCCCUAUAUGCAUAUAGUAAAAACUUAAAAAAUCUUCUUUUAAAGAACUCAAAGAGCUAUGGCUAAGAUAUUUAGCAUCAAACAUGUUCUAAUAGGUGUCUACCAAGUUUGUUCAAAUAAAAGCCCUGGGGUCAAAAUUGGCCCGCCCCAGGGGGUCAUUGAUUUUCCCUAUAUGCAUAUAGUAAAAACUUAAAAAAUCUUCUUUUAAAGAACCAAAAGAGUUAGAGCUAAGAUAUUUAGCAUGAAACAUGUUCUAAUAAGUGUCUACCAAGUUUGUUCAAAUAAAAGCCCUGGGGUCAAAAUUGGUCCCGCCCCGGUGGGUCAUUGAUUUUCCCUUUAUGCAUAUAGUAAAAACUUAAAAAAUCUUCUUUUAAAAAAACUCAAAGAGUUAGAGCUAAGAUAUUUAGCAUCAAACAUGUUCUAAUAGGUGUCUACCAAGUUUGUUCAAAUAAAAGCCCUGGGGUCAAAAUUGGCACCGCCCCGGGGGUCAUUGAUUUUCCUUAUAUGUGUAUAGCAAAAACUUAAAAAUCUUCUUUGAAAAAACCCAAAUAGCUAGAGUUAAGAUAUUAAGCAUGAAACAUCUUUUAGUGAGUGUCUACCAAGUUUGUUCAAAUAAAAGCCCUGGGGUCAAACUUGGCCCUGCCCCGGGGGGGUCAUUGAUUUUCCCUAUAUGCAUAUAGUAAAAACUUAAAAAAUCUUCUUUUAAAGAACCAAAAGAGUUAGAGCUAAGAUAUUUAGCAUGAAACAUGUUCUAAUAAGUGUCUACCAAGUUUGUUCAAAUAAAAGCCCUGGGGUCAAAAUUGGCCCCGUCCCGGGGGUCAUUGAUUUUCCCAAUAUGCAUAUAGUAAAAACUUAAAAAUCUUCUUUUAAAGAACUCAAAGAGCUAUGGCUAAGAUAUUUAGCAUCAAACAUGUUCUAAUAGGUGUCUACCAAGUUUGUUCAAAUAAAAGCCCUGGGGUCAAAAUUGGCCCGCCCCAGGGGGUCAUUGAUUUUCCCUAUAUGCAUAUAGUAAAAACUUAAAAAAUCUUCUUUUAAAGAACCAAAAGAGUUAGAGCUAAGAUAUUUAGCAUGAAACAUGUUCUAAUAAGUGUCUACCAAUUUUGUUCAAAUAAAAGCCCUGGGGUCAAACUUGGCCCUGCCCCGGGGGGGUCAUUGAUUUUCCCUAUAUGCAUAUAGUAAAAACUUAAAAAAUCUUCUUUUAAAGAACCAAAAGAGUUAGAGCUAAGAUAUUUAGCAUGAAACAUGUUCUAAUAAGUGUC